UUAAUUAAAAAUUAAAAAAAGAAAUGAGUUAUUCUUAUCCUUAGAGAUAUGGUUCACAGUUCUGUUUUCUCCCUCUCUUGGAUGAAAUGAAUUAGAGUUUUUAUUACCUCAUUGGCAUUGAUUAGGAUUUGGGAUUCUGAGUCCACCCAGCAGAUGCCCAUGCUGGCUACCUUCUGUAUAGAUGAGCUUCCCAGGGAAUCUGGGCCAUCCUUUCUUUCAGGGGAGCAGAGAACUCUUCCAUCCUAGAUGUGGCGUUUUUCCUUACUCAAGUGACAUACACAUAGAUUGAGUUAAAACUUCCUCUCAUGAGCUUGUUGUUAAGUUGUUUUAGUUGUGUGACACUUCAUGACCCUCUUUGGGGUUUUCUUGGCAAAGACACUGGAGUGGCUUGCUAUUUCCUUCUCCAGCUCAUUUUACAGUUGAGAAAAUUGAAGCUAAGAGAGUUAAGUGACUCAUCCAAGGUCACAGAGCUAGUAAGUGCCUUAGACCAGAUUAGAACUUAGUUCCUCUGGAUCCCAGGUUGCCCAAUCAACUAAUUUAUCAUUAAUUAUUAGUAAUAAUAAUGUUAUUAACCAUAAUAUCAUAGGAUCAGAAAUCUAGAACUAGAAGGGACUUUAGACAUCAUCUAAUAAUCCACUUCCUUCUUUUUGCAGAUGAAGAAACUGAGGUCUAGGGUGGCUGCAAGGCUCUCUUACGAUCUUGUAAAUACUGAGUAACAAAGGCACCACUUGAACUCUGUCCUCUGAUUUUAGUCUCGGUGCUUUCUCCACCAUUCCAAGAAUGCAGUCAAGGAGGCCUUGCAGAGUGCUAGAGAAUCAGAGAGGCUAAUUCAUCAUGUCUAAGAAGAAGGAUCGUUUAAAACAAGAGGAAAUCUCAUUUGAUGAAUGGAAACUGAGCUAAGUGACUUGCCCAGGAUCACUCAGACAGAAAAUGUCAGAAGCCAAAUUUGAACUCAUGAAGAUGAGUCUUCUUUACUCCAGGUCUGGCACCCAGCCAACUGCGCCACCUACCUGCCAUUUUUCAAGAAUUCUAAUUUUUAACCUUCCAAUCCAAGCACCCUUGUAUCCUUUCCAUCUCCCCAUGAUUGGACAAAAGAUCAAGUUGGCCAGAUUUGAGAGUUCCUCGGUAGCUCAACAAAGCCUCCUGAUCAUUUCCUGUUCCCUACCUGUCUAGAUUCCUCACCUGCAUCUGGAUCAGAAGGUCUAAGGACGACUUUGUGCCUCCAAUGCUAACACCACCCAAUCCUGGUCCUUCUCCUUCCCGUGACACUAGCUGCUUGGUCAGAGAAAAGAGAAGCAGUCCAAAGGCAGAGGGGCUCUAGUCCUCCUCCACCCCAUGUGAUGGAACCAGCUAAAACCCCACGGGAACUGACUGCUAAUUUAAACUAUAAGCACUUAUACCUUGGAAAUCGGCAAAGAGGUUGGAUUUAUUGUUUUGUUGUGUGUCUACAAAGUGAUGGAGAAAUUUUUGACACUGUAGAUUAAAUUUAAAAAUGUGUUGGGCAUGGCUUUUUUCUUUUCUGGAGAGCCAACAAGUAAACUUUUCCUAGCACACCCUGGCCCAGCAGAGUUCUGCAAGUCUGAGCUGCAGUGACAUGCCAGGAUGCCCAGUGGUUGGCUAAAAGGGGAGGAGAGGGACGGGGUCAUAAAAUAGCCCAGAAUAUCUCAGACUCCUCAGGUGGGAAAGGCAGCAGUUUCACUGCUCUCUCAGGACAGUAAGAAAUAAAUAUCCAUCCUCACCCUGCCCUUUCUGGUCCUGUCAAGUGAAUCUCACGAGAUGAUAUGCAUGGACCCCAACUGACAUGGAUGAAAGUCAAAAGAAAUUUCCUCUUUAACUUGGAGAGGCAGCCUGGAUAGGGAACAGAGAACUGACCUCAGAGUCAGGAAAUCCUUUGUUCAAGUCCUACCUCUACUACAUAAUGACCAUAUGACCCUGGGCAAGUCACUUAACUAACCUCAUGUAAGCUGGGCAAGUCUAAAACUAAAUGUUGAAGAAAGUGUAAAUCUGCACUGCUAAGAGGGGAUUCUUCACCUGGAGCCCCUACACCGAUCAAAUUAGAUAUUUUAGCUAAAUAAAUAAAUAAAAAUCUAGACUCUUGAAUUGUAGGAGUAGGAAUCUGAGAGAAACAAGCAGCUCCAAAGAAAGACUUAACAUCAAAGCACUUCUCUGGCAGGCAUAAAUACAGAAGAGCUAAAAUAGCACCUUGGGCUUGAUCUAUAAGAACUAAUAGACACCGAUCCUGCUGGAGAAAAGACUAAUUAAUAUCCACGAUUCUGUGGAGAGCCAACAGGUGGUAACAGCAGAGACAGAGCAGUUCAUCUCAGCUAGGAGCAGGUGCAGGUGUGGAACAGAGAAAAGAACAGCAAAGGACCUCAGCAAUGAACACAGGAGAACAUGGCUUGCAAUAACAUGACCAGCCAGCUUCCAAUUGGGUAGCAUCAGGGACAACGUAGUAGAGAGAUAAACAGCAACAGCAGACUUGGGCAAGUUUUCUGCUGCAGAUGCUUUCCUAGGAGCAUGAUCACUGCAUCUACUUUGCAGUAAUGCAACCUCCCUAUACAGGUUUCCUGUCUGUGCUCCCUCUCCUACCUCUGGUAUGUUAAGCUGCUAAGGAUUAUAUGCUCUUGUGUGUAUGGUGGUGGGAGAGGGGGUGAAUUUCC